GACGGAGGGAGCAAGCGUUACUCGGAAUGAUUGGGCGUAAAGGGUGCGUAGGUGGUUUUUUAAGUGAGAUGUUAAAGACUUGGGCUUAACCUAAGGAGUGCGUUUCAUACUGAAAAACUCGAGUGUGGGAGAGGAAACAGGAAUUCCUCAUGUAGAGGUGAAAUUCGUAGAUAUGAGGAGGAACACCAGAGGCGAAGGCGAGUUUCUGGAACACAACUGACACUGAGGCACGAAAGCGUGGGGAGCAAACAGG
rnacentral:rRNA from 1 species